rnacentral:lncRNA from 1 species
GUAUCCGUUAUAGCACUGAUGUGAGUGUAGAUGAAGUAAAAGCUUUGGCUUCUCUGAUGACAUACAAGUGUGCAGUGGUUGAUGUGCCGUUUGGGGGUGCUAAAGCUGGUGUUAAGAUCUAUCCCAAGAACUAUACCGUAAGAUAACAAACUGGAAAAGAUCACAAGGAGGUUCACCAUGGAGCUAGCAAAGAAGGGCUUUAUUGGU